rnacentral:ncRNA from 1 species
GAGAAACCGUUGAGAAAGAGGAGUAAGCCUUUUCACAAGAUCUCAGAGAGCUGUGCGUUGGUGGGAGCACGGUAUGGCGUGGCUGGCUGAAUGGACUUUCGAGGGCGGUCCUGAACCGGGCAGACCGACAGUAUGGACCGACGGAAACCGCGACCGUUAUCAAGGCGGCAUAUAUGUUAGUAUAUGAAAGAAGUGGACUUUUCAGUCAAGUUUGAGUGGCACCGCGGAUUGGUUAAUUCGUCUCAGGC